rnacentral:rRNA from 1 species
GACGAACGCUGGCGGCGUGCUUAACACAUGCAAGUGGAGCGACGAACCAGGGCUUGCCCUGGGGCAAAGCCGCGAACGGGUGAGUAACACGUGGGUAACCUGCCCCGAAGACCGGGACAACCCGAGGAAACUCGGGCUAAUACCGGAUGUGGUCACUCUUCAUAAGGAGCGUGAGCAAAGGAAGCUUCGGCAUCCGCUUCGGGAUGGGCCCGCGGCCCAUUAGCUUGUUGGUGAGGUAACGGCUCACCAAGGCUUCGAUGGGUAGCUGGUCUGAGAGGACGAUCAGCCACACUGGGACUGAGACACGGCCCAGACUCCUACGGGAGGCAGCAGUGGGGAAUCUUGCGCAAUGGGCGACAGCCUGACGCAGCAACGCCGCGUGAGGGAAGAAGGCUUUCGGGUCGUAAACCUCUUUCAGGAGGGACGAAGCUUCGGGAGUGAAUAGCUUUCCGGAGUGACGGUACUUCCACAAGAAGCCCCGGCUAACUACGUGCCAGCCGCCGCGGUAA